rnacentral:rRNA from 1 species
UGACCCGCUGUCUAAUUAACAUUCAGUCGAACGGUAGAGUAGCAAUACUCGAGAGUGGCGAACGGGUGAGUAAUAUAUCGGAACGUGCCCAACUGUGGGGGAUAACGUAGAGAAAUUUACGCUAAUACCGCAUACGAUCUAAGGAUGAAAGCGGGGGAUCGCAAGACCUCGCGCAGUUGGAGCGGCUGAUAUCAGAUUAGCUUGUUGGUGAGGUAAAAGCUCACCAAGGCGACGAUCUGUAGCUGGUUUGAGAGAACGACCAGCCACACUGGGACUGAGACACGGCCCAGACUCCUACGGGAGGCAGCAGUGGGGAAUUUUGGACAAUGGGCGAAAGCCUGAUCCAGCAAUGCCGCGUGCAGGAAGAAGGCCUUCGGGUUGUAAACUGCUUUUGUACGGAACGAAACGGUCCUUUUUAAUACAGAGGGCUAAUGACGGUACCGUAAGAAUAAGCACCGGCUAACUACGUGCCAGCAGCCGCGGUAAUACGUAGGGUGCGAGCGUUAAUCGGAAUUACUGGGCGUAAGCGUGCGCAGGCGGUUAUAUAAGACAGUUGUGAAAUCCCCGGGCUCAACCUGGGAAUUGCAUCUGUGACUGUAUAGCUAGAGUACGGUAGAGGGGGAUGGAAUUCCGCGUGUAGCAGUGAAAUGCGUAGAUAUGCGGAGGAACACCGAUGGCGAAGGCAAGUCCCCCUUGGACCUGUACGUGACGCUCAUGCACGAAAGCGUUGGGGAGCAAACAGGAUUAGAUACCCUGGUAGUCCACAGCCCUUAAACGAUGUCAACUGGUUUGUAGGGUGCAUUAAGUACUCAGUAACGAAGCUAA